GAGAAGAACGCAGUGAAAUGCGAUAAGUAAUGUGAAUUGCAGAAUUCAGUGAAUCAUCGAAUCUUUGAACGCACAUUGCGCCCGUCAGUAUUCUGGCGGGCAUGCCUGUUCGAGCGUCAUUACGCCCCUCAAGUCCCCUGUGGACUUGGUGUUGGGGAUCGGCGAGGCUGGUUUUCCAGCACAGCCGUCCCUUAAAUUAAUUGGCGGUCUCGCCGUGGCCCUCCUCUGCGCAGUAGUAAAACACUCGCAACAGGAGCCCGGCGCGGUCCACUGCCGUAAAACCCCCCAACUUUUUAUAGUUGACCUCGAAUCAGGUAGGACUACCCGCUGAACUUAAGCAUAUCAAUAAGCGGAGGA
rnacentral:misc_RNA from 1 species